rnacentral:Y_RNA from 1 species
GGCAGGUCUGAAGGCAGUGAGUGAUCUCACCGGGAAGUUCACAGUCCAUCACAGAUCCGACUCCUUCUACUCUUUCCCCGUUGCAAUCACUGCCCUUGACUCGUCUUUA